rnacentral:rRNA from 1 species
UACGGAGGGAGCUAGCGUUGUUCGGAAUUACUGGGCGUAAAGCGUACGUAGGCGGUUAUUCAAGUCAGAGGUGAAAGCCCGGGGCUCAACCCCGGAACUGCCUUUGAAACUAGAUAGCUAGAAUCUUGGAGAGGUCAGUGGAAUUCCGAGUGUAGAGGUGAAAUUCGUAGAUAUUCGGAAGAACACCAGUGGCGAAGGCGACUGACUGGACAAGUAUUGACGCUGAGGUACGAAAGCGUGGGGAGCAAACAG